CCCCCCCCCGAUUGUAUUUUCCACACACGCAGUCAUGGUGGCAAAAUCCCUGUUACUAUAAGCCCUUUAAAAAAUCGAAUAAAUCCAGAAUUUCAGUUAGUACCACAUAGAGCAAUGGUUAGUAAUAGUUCAUGAAACUACAUACAUACGUGUGUGUGCACACACCCGUCUGUUCUGGGUCACAAGGUAAGAGGUCUUGGUUACAGAGGGUAGAACGGAAGUCUAAGAAUUUGCAAAAACCAGGGCCAGAACCUGAUGCAGCCAGGCCGUCGUAGUUGUAGUUCCUCCCGGCAAGGAAUGCAGGGAGGAACCCUGUCAAGCACCCGUUGUGACUCAUUCUGAGUCAGGGACUGGGGACUGGGGGUGGGGCACAGCCCUGAGUUGGGGAAGACCAGCCCCUCCCCAUGGAGGGGCUAACAAUAUAGUUGACAAACAGCCGCACACAAGUAAAGAAAAGCAAGUUAUGGAGCAGCGGGCAACUGGGAAGGGAUGGCAGCGUAUAAUUCAGCGGCACUUAAGUACAUUCACACGGUUGAAUAACCAUUGGCACCCCCCAUCUCCAGAACCUUCCUCAUCACCCAAAACAGGAGCUAACCGUUGAGCAUUAACUACCCACCUCCCGUUCCCGCUCGCCUCCGGUAGCCCCGGUUCUACUUUCUAUUUCUGUGACUUUGUCUUUCUAGAUAUCUCACAUAAGCGCAAUCAAUUUGUCUGCUUGUGUCUGGUUUAUUUCACUAAGCAUAAGGUCUAAAUUUCAUCCAUGUUGUGGCGAGUGUCAGCACUACAUUUUUAUGGCUGAGUGAUGGUGCGUUGUAUGUUUAUCCAUUAUCUCUUGAUGGGCUUGUUACCACCACCCCCCUUUAAAAUGCAGGAACUGGGGGCGCCUGGGUGGCUCAGUCGGUUAAGCGUCUGACUUUGGUUCAGGUCCUGAUCUCACAGCUCAUGAGUUCGAGCCCCACAUCAGGCUCUGUGCUUACAGCUCAGCUUGGAGCUUGCUUCAGAUUCUCUGUCUCCCUCUCUCUCUGCCCCUCCCCUCCCCUCCCCUCGUCUCUCUCUCUC